rnacentral:RNase_P_RNA from 2 species
GUGAGCCGGUGGGCGGCUGCCGGGCCCCCCAGGGGGUCUGAGGAAACUCCAUCCACCGAGCAGGGCUGCGACGCCGCGAGGCGUGACGCGAGAGCGUCGGCUCCGGACAGAAACGACACCUCCCCCGGCAAAUGCUGUGAACCCCGGUCAGGGGCGAGGACGCCGGGUGGCUGGGCUGAGACGGCCGACCCGCAGGGUGAAAGGGCGAAUAGGCGCCGAUACCCGCCUGCAGGGGGCGCGGGUAGCCCGUAUAGCCGAAUGCCGCUUAGAACAGAAGGUGGGUUACGGCCGGCACAC